rnacentral:rRNA from 1 species
UACGGAGGGUGCAAGCGUUGUCCGGAUUUAUUGGGGUUAAAGGGUGCGUAGGCGGUCUUUUAAGUCAGUGGUGAAAUCCUCCAGCUCAACUGGAGAACUGCCAUUGAUACUGGAAGACUUGAGUAUAGUUGAGGUAGGCGGAAUUGACAGUGUAGCGGUGAAAUGCAUAGAUAUUGUCAAGAACACCGAUUGCGAAGGCAGCUUGCUACACGAGUAUUGACACUGAGGCACGAAAGCGUGGGGAUCAAACAGG